UUGAUAUUUUUACAUGAUUUUUUGCCUUUAUUACUUCAUUUUUCCCUCUAACAAAUGUUUGCGUAUGUACAACAUUCCUUUCCCAUCUCUUCAAUCACGUCAAAAACCCUUCAAUCCCCUUAAACACUUCAUCUUCUCGCCAGUUCUAUUUAUCGUCCCUCUCUCUUUCUUUCUUCUUUACCGCUUCUCUUUUCCCUUCUCUCCUUGCCUAUUUCUCUAUGACCAGAACCCGUUCCAUGGCAUCCAAAAGCACUGAUUCAGGCAACACCUCCGAUCUCUUCGGAUGUGAUACCAUCUCUCUUUCAUCUGAAUCUUCAGAGGAUGCUACUCGAUGGUCUUGGUCCUGCUCUAAGAAGAGAUCCUUUGUCUCUACUAAAAAGGAUGCAAAGAAACACUGGUCUUCUCCUUCUAGAUCUAUGACGGGUGAAUACAUGCAAAAAUUCUGGGGAGUUGAACAGAAGAUCAAGUUUGAGGCACUCUAGAGCAGACCCAUUGUCCCCAAACGAGUCAUCAGUCUCUUCCAACCGAAGGAUUCUCAGUUCUCUGUAGGUACUUUUCUUAAAGCCCAAAAACUUGGUCUAAUUUUUACUCUCCGUAGUAAUAAUUUGUAUAUAGAUGUUGUUCAUUUUUCUAUGUGAAUCUUUGUGUUUCACCUGAUUGUGGAGAACUCGAAACCCUCGUCCUAGUUAGUCAAAUUGUUGUGAAUGAUCGUUUGUUGGAGGAUGUGCUUGGUACUAAGUUCUCAGGGGAUAUUCCAUAUAUGAAUGGUGUGUGGAACACUGAUUUUGAAGUAUCUGUGGAAGGUGCGAAAAUGGUCGUGGCUGAACCCGUUCUGACUUCUCUGAUUUUUGGCCUUCAUCGUUGUGCUUUGAAAAUCGUAUUCUUGCUCAUAUUGUGGCUACUUAUCUCCUUCCUCGUAAGGGUUAACUCAACAAAAUCACCACACAUGAUGUCUUUGUUCUUUACUGAUUGUUGAAAAAUUACAGGAUCAGUUGGGCCUCCUGGUUCAAAGAAUAUAUGAUGGUAAGUGCUACUGACCCUAAUGGGACUGCCAAUCUGCCUUAUGGUCUUUUGAUUUCUCACAUUCUGUGGAUCAUCUUGUUGAUCUCUCAACUUUAAUGCUUCUCGAGAUCAUCGCAACAUAUGAUACCCACACUUUUUCAAGUAUAGGAUAUGUACUUGUUGGAACUACAUGGCUUAAGAAGGAAUCAGUCAAGGCAAGAUCUAAAUCUGUUAACGUACUCGGGAUGUGUUUACUCUAUUGCUGUUCUCCUUAAGGACUCCAACGAAAUCAAGGCAUGACUCACUGCGCUGGAAGACAAGUUUGAACAACUUCUCUGCACCACAAAUAAACUUGUUUGGCUCAACAAAGAUACCACUACUGAUGUUAGUAAAUUACAUCUUGCACUGACUGGUCUCAAGAAGGAUGGAAUUGCCACAUUGAAUUUGUUGAUGAAUCAAGUCGACUUUAUGAAUUCAUGAGUCAGCUCCUCCAACACAGAACUGGUUGUGAAUGUUCAGACCUCGUACUCCUCUUUUGCAAGAAAUAUUGAGAGCUCUUACAAUGUUUUUGCAGGAACGUGCUCAACACACUUAAGUACUUUCUUUGUUAUCACUGAUUGUGGUCUACUGUUUUGUUUUACACUAUUUUCAAUAGGGGUGUGUCCCUAAACUUCCUUGUUCUAGACUCUUUAAGAGGUAGACUGUUCACCUCCCUACUACUAUUUUAAUUUUCUUGUUAUGAUAUUAACUGUUAUCUGUCGAUUAUGUUUUUUAUGAUGCCAAAUGGGGAGAACUCUUCCCACAAAAAUAUUCCAUCAGAUACAGGUGCACUCCAGUCAAGGAGAGUCUCAAUAAACUCUCAACGACCCAAAAGACAUGCAAAUCGACAGGGGGAGCCUCAGGGAAGUUUUAUAAUUUUUUUAUUGAAUUUUAUUUAUGGGAAACUUACUGUCAUUAUUAAAAAAGGUUAGAUUGUUAGCCUCAUAAGCAUUAAAAGUAUUUUGAUAAUAUCUCGUUUGAUGAUUUAUAUGGUUUAUUAUUCAAUGAAGAAUGGUAACUAAUGAGAGAUGAUAGUCUUAAUGUCAUAGCUCCCAUAGCACAAUAUACUGAAAGUACUAUUUGCAUCAUAUCUUCAACCUUCAAUAUGUCCAUAUUUAUUUUUCACAAUUCUGAAGAAGAAUUUCAUAUCGCAUGAGUUUACCCACCACCCAAGACAUCUACUAGCACUCAAGUUUCUUGACAACCUAGCAAAUACCUUCACCUACCCAAAUUUUGUUGAUGGAUAGUGGCACCAUGCAUCAUCUAAUCUUGAUAACCUUGGCAUUUACUCGGACUAUCAAAGUAUCAAGGAAUUAACUCUAGGUCGUGACUCUAAAUUACCAAUAUCUCAUAUUGGUCCACGCUUUAAAUCUGACAUUGUUUCUGUUGAAUCCUUUCCAAAUCAUUUUUAAGGAUUUGGCAACAAGGAUACCACUACAUAAAAUGUGGACUAAUAGUGGACAAUAUUCCCUUUCAAUGAAAAAAAUACCCUCUCCAACUUCCUUUGCAACUUCUCUUUAUGUUUGGCAUACAUGUCUGACUUAUGCAUCCUACAUUACCGUUCGCCAAGCAUUACCAUCUAUUAUUUUGAGUGUAGUGAAUCUUCGAGUUUAUACACUAACUGCGUUAUUAGCAAACGACAUAAUAUUUCUUUUGGUGAAUUUAGUUUUUAGGUGUAACUGCUUGUUAUCAUCAUUAUGGAUAAUCCAAUGGGGAAGGAAUUUGGGCCAAAAAACUUUUGAAAUUAUGAAAUUUCUAGCCUAGGUCUGACUUGGACAAAAUUUGAUUCAGGUGAGGUCUAGGGUAAUCAGGAAAUGGAUGAGGGAUUUGAUUAUGAAUUUUAUCAUUUAAGUGGAUCGCCAAGAUGAUAAGGAGCAUGUUCGACUUUACAUAUUCGAAUUUUGACGAGUAAAACUCCUGUAAUUGAUAUUAGCUUGAAAGGGUGGUUUUAGAACAUCAAGUUUGAGAGUGUGUUGUAAAUUGGAUAAUUGGAACAUAAAGUUUGAGUCUCUGUCUCUAUGCAAUCCACCAUAGAGGGAUUAUUCCUUCCAUGGCGGGCCAGUCGCGAGUAAAAAUGGAAAAAAUCUCAUGAAUAUUAUAUUUUUGCAAACUUCAUUCUUGGAGAGCAAAAGGGCGACCUAGGGUUAUUUCUUCUUUUUUUCACUAAUUCUCGUGCUAAAGUACACGACAUCUUCAGGCAGCUAUUGAGAGAACACAACAAGGAGAUCACUGACUUGUUGAGUUCAAGGGUGAGCCACUUCCUUCAGGCUACUAUGGGUUCAUCUAGGAUCUUAGUCCAUUCCCUUUGAACUUAGACCUUUCAGACUCUUUACUUUUUUUAGUGGUUUUGGGGAUUACAUCUCCUAAUCGUAGGCUGUUUAGUUAGAAGUUUUGGUACAACGACUUCAGGUUCUAGGGGUUUCUGUUAUAUAUGGCACUGAUUUUUAUGGAGGACCUUUUACUCCCCUACAAAUAGUGUAUUUAAAGGUAUAUAUGUGAUCACGUGGAUAUGAUAAAUAUUGCAUCAUUUUAAAUAGUAAUGUGUCCAUGUGGACACAAAUAUACCUUCAAAAUACUCUUUUAAAAAGUGUAGGAGGGGGGGGGGAGGAGUAAAAGGUCCUUCAAAAAGUUUUGUAUCGUAACAGUUAUUUCGGCCAAAGUUGGAGUAUUUUUCAGACCCUUUUCCCUUUUCUUUAUUGUAAUGUAGAUCCCUCUCGUGCAUAUCAUGUGUGUCUUUUCAAACGAUCAUUAUAUGGCCUUAAACAAGCUCCUUAUAUGUGGAACAAAAUAUUCGUUGAUGUUCUCACUUGACUAGGAUAUUCAAGUUCUAAGACACAGAGUUCUUUCUACUAUGUUUCUACUCCAAGUGACAAUUUUUUGGUCUAAUAUAUGUAAAUGAUAUUUUGGUACUUGAAAAUAACACUACUCGUAUUAAGUCUUUGGUUGCGCAACUUCAAUCAGAUUUGUAGUACGUGAUUUUUGGAAUAUUUCUUAUUUUUUUGGUAUUGCAACAUCUAUAACUGAUGAAGGAUUAUUAUUAUCUCAAAGGAAAUAUGCUGGGGAUCUCCUUUGUUAUUUUUUGAUGGACUUUUGCAGCCCUAUUAACAAUCUCAUUUUUUCCAUCAUCUACUCUCAUCAUCUGAUUGUGUUCCAUUCAAUGAUCCAAUGUUGUAUCAUAGCAUAGUUGGUGGGUUGCAGUGCUUGAUUUUUACGCGUUCGGAUUGGUAUAUGCAGUGAAUAAGCUUUCUCAAUUCAUGUAUUAUCAUAUGGAUAUUCAUUGGGUCGUUGUGAAAUGUGUAUUGUUAUAUAUCAAAGGUUCAUUAGCUCA